rnacentral:rRNA from 1 species
UGGGCGAAAGCCUGAUCCAGCCAUGCCGCGUGUGUGAAGAAGGCUCUUCGGAUUGUAAAACUCUUUAUGUUUGGGAAGAAGGGCUGCUAGCUAAUUUCCUUGGGUUUUUGCCGGUCCCUCACAAUAAGGCCCGGCUAAAUUCGUGCCCACCACCCCCGGUAUUCCGUAGGUGGAAGCGUUUAUCCGAAUUUCUGGGCCUUAAGGCCCGCGCAGGGGGUUUCUUAAUUCUGAGGUAAAACCCCGGGCUCCACCUGUGGACGGUCUUUGAAACUGGGGAGAUUUAAUUGGGUAAAAGGAAAUGGAAUUUCCUGUGGUACGGUGAAAUGGCUAAAUAUUAGAAGGAACCCCCGUGGGCAAAGGCAAUUCUUGGGCUGAUACUGAACCUGAAGUGCCAAAACCUGGGGAACCAAACAGGAUUAAAUUCCCUGGUAAUCCACGCCGUAAACCAAGUCAGUGUAACCUGUUGGAAUCCUUUCCAUUUUAUUUGUGCUAACUUUCACAUUUUAGUUGACUCGCCUGUGGAGAACGGCGCCGCAAGGUGCUAACUCUCAUGAGAUUUGAGGGGCCCCCACAAGCGGUGGAGAAUGUGUGUUAAUUCUCAACACCGCGCAAAACAUUACAUGGCCUCUUGAUGCUGAGAACUUUCCUAGAUAUAUUGCUUCUCCUUCGGAAGCAGACACACAUGCUGUGCAUGUGUGUCCCCUCUCGUGUCGAGAUAUUUGGUUAAUCCCCUAACCGCGCGCACCCUUGUGAUUUAUUACCCAUCAUUAUGGUGGGCACUCUAAGGAGACUGCCGGUGACAAACCGGAGGAAGUGGGAUGACGUCAAUCAUCAUGCCCCUUAUGAGCUGGGCUACACACGUGCUACAAUGGACGGUACAAGAGCUGCAGACCGCGAGUGAGCUAAUCCCAUAAACCGUUCGAGUCGGAUCGCAGCUGCAACUCGCUACUGAAGUCGAAUCGCUAGUAAUCGCUGAAUCAGCAUGCCACGGUGAAUACGUUCCCGGGCCUUGUACACACCGUCCGUCACAACCAUGGGAGU